rnacentral:rRNA from 1 species
CAGGCUUAACACAUGCAAGUCGAGGGGCAGCAUUUUAGUUUGCUUGCAAACUAAAGAUGGCGACCGGCGCACGGGUGAGUAACACGUAUCCAACCUGCCGAUAACUCGGGGAUAGCCUUUCGAAAGAAAGAUUAAUAUCCGAUAGUAUAUUAAAACCGCAUGGUUUUACUAUUAAAGAAUUUCGGUUAUCGAUGGGGAUGCGUUCCAUUAGUUUGUUGGCGGGGUAACGGCCCACCAAGACUACGAUGGAUAGGGGUUCUGAGAGGAAGGUCCCCCACAUUGGAACUGAGACACGGUCCAAACUCCUACGGGAGGCAGCAGUGAGGAAUAUUGGUCAAUGGACGAGAGUCUGAACCAGCCAAGUAGCGUGAAGGAUGACUGCCCUAUGGGUUGUAAACUUCUUUUAUAUGGGAAUAAAGUAUUCCACGUGUGGGAUUUUGUAUGUACCAUAUGAAUAAGGAUCGGCUAACUCCGUGCCAGCAGCCGCGGUAAUACGGAGGAUCCGAGCGUUAUCCGGAUUUAUUGGGUUUAAAGGGAGCGUAGGUGGAUUGUUAAGUCAGUUGUGAAAGUUUGCGGCUCAACCGUAAAAUUGCAGUUGAAACUGGCAGUCUUGAGUACAGUAGAGGUGGGCGGAAUUCGUGGUGUAGCGGUGAAAUGCUUAGAUAUCACGAAGAACUCCGAUUGCGAAGGCAGCUCACUAGACUGCAACUGACACUGAUGCUCGAAAGUGUGGGUAUCAAACAGGAUUAGAUACCCUGGUAGUCCACACAGUAAACGAUGAAUACUCGCUGUUUGCGAUAUACAGUAAGCGGCCAAGCGAAAGCAUUAAGUAUUCCACCUGGGGAGUACGCCGGCAACGGUGAAACUCAAAGGAAUUGACGGGGGCCCGCACAAGCGGAGGAACAUGUGGUUUAAUUCGAUGAUACGCGAGGAACCUUACCCGGGCUUAAAUUGCAUUUGAAUAAUCUGGAAACAGGUUAGCCGCAAGGCAAAUGUGAAGGUGCUGCAUGGUUGUCGUCAGCUCGUGCCGUGAGGUGUCGGCUUAAGUGCCAUAACGAGCGCAACCCUUAUCUUUAGUUACUAACAGGUUAUGCUGAGGACUCUAGAGAGACUGCCGUCGUAAGAUGUGAGGAAGGUGGGGAUGACGUCAAAUCAGCACGGCCCUUACGUCCGGGGCUACACACGUGUUACAAUGGGGGGUACAGAAGGCAGCUACCUGGCGACAGGAUGCUAAUCCCAAAAACCUCUCUCAGUUCGGAUCGAAGUCUGCAACCCGACUUCGUGAAGCUGGAUUCGCUAGUAAUCGCGCAUCAGCCAUGGCGCGGUGAAUACGUUCCCGGGCCUUGUACACACCGCCCGUCAAGCCAUGAAAGCCGGGGGUACCUGAAGUACGUAACCGCAAGGAGCGUCCUAGGGUAAAACUGGUAAUUGGGGCUAAG